AACAUUGGUCGGUGGUCGGGAAUCGAACCCGGGACGCCCCUGGCGAGCAUUCUACCACUGAACCACCAAUGC